rnacentral:rRNA from 1 species
UACGUAGGGGGCGAGCGUUGUCCGGAUUCAUUGGGCGUAAAGAGCUCGUAGGCGGCUUGGCAAGUCGGGUGUGAAAACUCCAGGCUCAACCUGGAGAUGCCACCCGAUACUGCUAUGGCUUGAGUUCGGUAGGGGACCACGGAAUUCCUGGUGUAGCGGUGAAAUGCGCAGAUAUCAGGAGGAACACCGGUGGCGAAGGCGGUGGUCUGGGCCGACACUGACGCUGAGGAGCGAAAGCGUGGGGAGCGAACAGG